UACGUAGGGUGCGAGCGUUAAUCGGAAUUACUGGGCGUAAAGGGUGCGCAGGCGGUUUUGUAAGCCAGAUGUGAAAUCCCCGGGCUCAACCUGGGAAUGGCAUUUGGGACUGCAAGGCUAGAGUGUGGCAGAGGAGACUGGAAUUCCCGGUGUAGCAGUGAAAUGCGCAGAUAUCAGGAAGAACACCCGUGGCGAAGGCGGCUCUCUGGGACGGUACUGACGCUGAGACGCGAAAGCGUGGGGAGCGAACAGG
rnacentral:rRNA from 1 species